rnacentral:rRNA from 1 species
CCUACGGGAGGCAGCAGUGGGGAAUAUUGGACAAUGGGGGAACCCUGAUCCAGCGACGCCGCGUGAGUGAAGAAGUAUUUCGGUAUGUAAAGCUCUAUCAGCAGGGAAGAAAAUGACGGUACCUGACUAAGAAGCCCCGGCUAACUACGUGCCAGCAGCCGUGGGAAUACGUAGGGGGCAAGCGUUAUCCGGAUUUAAUGGGUUGAAAGGGAACGUAGACGGUGCAGCAAUGAUGAUGGUAAAGGUCGGGGCCCAACCCCGGGACUGCAUUGGAAACUGGUGAACUGGAGUACAGGAGAGGUAAGCGGAAUUCCUAGUGAAGCGGUGAAAUGCGUAGAUAUUAGGAGGAACACCAGUGGCGAAGGCGGCUUACUGGACUGUAACUGACGUUGAGGCUCGAAAGCGUGGGGAGCAAACAGGAUUAGAUACCCUUGUAGUC